rnacentral:misc_RNA from 1 species
UACGUAGGGGGCGAGCGUUGUCCGGAGUUAUUGGGCGUAAAGCGCGCGCAGGCGGCCGCUUAAGUCUGAUGUGAAAGCCCCCGGCUCAACCGGGGAGGGCCGUUGGAAACUGGGAGGCUUGAGUAUUGAAGAGAAGAGUGGAAUUCCACGUGUAGCGGUGAAAUGCGUAGAGAUGUGGAGGAACACCAGUGGCGAAGGCGAGUCUUUGGCCUAUAACUGACGAUGAGGCGCGAAAGCGUGGGGAGCAAACAGG